rnacentral:rRNA from 1 species
CAGUAGCCGCGGGAAUACGGAGGGUGCAAGCGUUAAUCGGAAUUGCUGGGCGUAAAGCGCACGCUGGCGGUUUGUUAAGUCAGAUGUGAAAUCCCCGAGCUUAACUUGGGAACUGCAUUUGAAACUGACAAGCUAGAGUCUUGUAGAGGGGGGUAGAAUUCCAGGUGUAGCGGUGAAAUGCGUAGAGAUCUGGAGGAAUACCGGUGGCGAAGGCGGCCCCCGGGACAACACUGACGCUGAAGCACGAAAGCGUGGGGAGCAAACAGGAUUAGAUACCCGAGUAGUCCCUGUCUCUUAUACA